GGCCCAUCCGGGUGGACAUGUGGUUUAUUCGAUGCAACGCGAAGAACCUUACCUACUCUUGACAUCCAGAGAACUUAGCAGAGAUGCUUUGGUGCCUUCGGGAACUCUGAGACAGGUGCUGCAUGGCUGUCGUCAGCUCGUGUUGUGAAAUGUUGGGUUAAGUCCCGCAACGAGCGCAACCCUUAUCCUUUGUUGCCAGCGGUUCGGCCGGGAACUCAAAGGAGACUGCCAGUGAUAAACUGGAGGAAGGUGGGGAUGACGUCAAGUCAUCAUGGCCCUUACGAGUAGGGCUACACACGUGCUACAAUGGCAUAUACAAAGAGAAGCGACCUCGCGAGAGCAAGCGGACCUCAUAAAGUAUGUCGUAGUCCGGAUUGGAGUCUGCAACUCGACUCCAUGAAGUCGGAAUCGCUAGUAAUCGUGGAUCAGAAUGCCACGGUGAAUACGUUCCCGGGCCUUGUACACACCCGCCCGUAAA
rnacentral:rRNA from 1 species